rnacentral:rRNA from 1 species
GAUGAACGCUGGCGGCGUGCCUAAUACAUGCAAGUCGAGCGAACAGACGAGGAGCUUGCUCCUUCGACGUUAGCGGCGGACGGGUGAGUAACACGUAGGUAACCUACCUAUAAGACUGGGAUAACUUCGGGAAACCGGAGCUAAUACCGGAUAAUAUUUCGAACCGCAUGGUUCGAUAGUGAAAGAUGGCUUUGCUAUCACUUAUAGCUGGACCUGCGCCGUAUUAGUUAGUUGGUAAGGUAACGGCUUACCAAGGCAACGAUACCUAGCCGACCUGAGAGGGUGAUCGACCACACUGGAACUGAGACACGGUCCAGACUCCUACGGGAGGCAACAGUAGGGAAUCUUCCGCAAUGGGCGAAAGCCUGACGGAGCAACGCCGCGUGAGUGAUGAAGGUCUUCGGAUCGUAAAACUCUGUUAUUAGGGAAGAACAAACGUGUAAGUAACUGUGCACGUCUUGACGGUACCUAAUCAGAAAGCCACGGCUAACUACGUG